GCAAGUUAGCGAGGCUAGCUUAACUGUUGCUUGAUUUAGUCAUUAGAUGUUUGAAUACUGACCUGCAAGGGGGAUGCUCCAAAUGUUAAUACCAUUUGCAGGUAUAUGCCCGUGUAUCCAUAGAAAUCCUAAUGUUUGGGGGGCUCUUUUGUUGGUUUAGAAUACCAUUUGCAGGAAACGACACUUAAUCAUGUGAAGACCGCUGGGCUGCUAGGUGAUGGAUUCGGGUCCACACCAAAGAUGAGUAAACGGAACUUGUUCUGGGUGGUUAGCCAGAUGCAGGCUAUCGUCGAGCGUUAUCCAUGCUGGGGUGAUAUUGUUGAAGUAAAUACAUGGGUUAGUGCUAAUGGUAAAAAUGGAAUGCGUAGGGAUUGGCAUAUACGUGAUUCUAUGACAGGCCACACAAUAUUGAAGGCGACAAGUAAAUGGGUUAUGAUGAACAAACUCACUAGGAAGCUUGCAAGAAUUCUAGAUAAGUGCGGACUGAAAUAGAGCCAUACUUUGUUGGGUGUUCUGCUGUUGUUGAUGAAGACAA